rnacentral:rRNA from 1 species
GCAGUAGGGAAUCUUCCACAAUGGACGAAAGUCUGAUGGAGCAACGCCGCGUGAGUGAAGAAGGGUUUCGGCUCGUAAAACUCUGUUGUUAAAGAAGAACAUAUCUGAGAGUAACUGUUCAGGUAUUGACGGUAUUUAACCAGAAAGCCACGGCUAACUACGUGCCAGCAGCCGCGGUAAUACGUAGGUGGCAGGCGUUGUCCGGAUUUAUUGGGCGUAAAGCGAGCGCAGGCGGUUUUUAAGUCUGAUGUGAAAGCCUUCGGCUCAACCGAAGAAGUGCAUCGGAAACUGGGAAACUUGAGUGCAGAAGAGGACAGUGGAACUCCAUGUGUAGCGGUGAAAUGCGUAGAUAUAUGGAAGAACACCAGUGGCGAAGGCGGCUGUCUGGUCUGUAACUGACGCUGAGGCUCGAAAGUAUGGGUAGCAAACAGGAUUAGAUACCCUGGUAG